rnacentral:rRNA from 1 species
GAAGCUGGAAUCGCUAGUAAUCGCGAAUCAGAAUGUCGCGGUGAAUACGUUCCCGGGUCUUGUACACACCGCCCGUCACACCAUGGGAGUUGGGAAUGCCCGAAGCCGGUGACCUAACCGAAAGGGAGGAGCCGUCGAAGGCAGGCUUGAUAACUGGGGUGAAGUCGUAACAAGGUAAC